rnacentral:rRNA from 1 species
UAGAGGAAGUAAAAGUCGUAACAAGGUCUCCGUUGGUGAACCAGCGGAGGGAUCAUUAACGAGUUAUACAACUCCCAAACCCUUUGUGAACCUUACCACUUACGUUGCUUCGGCGGAACGCGCUGGUGUCGCCCUCACGGGUGCCCCAGGUCAACGCGCCCGCCGGGGACUACAAACUCUUGAUUUUGCGAAAGCAGUAUUAUUCUGAGUGGCCGAAAGGCAAAAAACAAAUGAAUCAAAACUUUCAACAACGGAUCUCUUGGUUCUGGCAUCGAUGAAGAACGCAGCAAAAUGCGAUAAGUAAUGUGAAUUGCAGAAUUCAGUGAAUCAUCGAAUCUUUGAACGCACAUUGCGCCCGCCAGCAUUCUGGCGGGCAUGCCUGUUCGAGCGUCAUUUCAACCCUCGACUUCACGUCUUUACGGACGAGAAGCCGGUGUUGGGGCGCGGCGGUCGAGCCUAGCUCGCGCCGGCUCCGAAAUUUAGUGGCGGCCCGUUGCGGCGACCUCUGCGUAGUAACUUAACCUCGCACUGGGACAGCAGCGCGGCCACGCCGUAAAACCCCCGACUUUUUUAAGGUUGACCUCGAAUCAGGUAGGACUACCCGCUGAACUUAAGCAUAUCA